rnacentral:rRNA from 1 species
AGUGGAUGGGGAGCAACCUAGUUGUGCGUGUGUAAAGGUAGUGCCAAGAAAAGCGAUGAUCAUGUUGAAAAUCAAUUCCCGGUACCCGAAACCGACACAGGUGGGCGAGUAGAGAAUACUAAGGGGCGCGAGGUAACUCUCUCCAAGGAACUCGGCAAAAUGACCCCGUAACUUAGGGAGAAGGGGUGCCACCGAGAGGUGGUCGCAGUGAAGAGGCCCAGGCGACUGUUUAGCAAAAACAUAGGUCUCUGCAAACUCGAAAGAGGAGGUAUAGGGGCUGACGCCUGCCCAGUGCCGGAAGGUUAAAGAAGUUGGUCAGUCUUAGGAUGAAGCUAGCGACUGAAGCCCCGGUGAACGGCGGCCGUAACUAUAACGGUCCUAAGGUAGCGAAAUUCCUUGUCGGGUAAGUUCCGACCCGCACGAAAGGCGUAACGAUCUGGGCGCUGUCUCGGAGAGAGGCUCGGCGAAAUAGGAUUGUCUGUGAAGAUACGGACUACCUGCAUUUGGACAGAAAGACCCUAUGAAGCUUUACUAUAGCUUGGAAUUGUGUUCGGGCUUCCUGUGCGCAGGAUAGGUGGGAGGCGUAGAAGGUAUUCUUGUGGGGAUACUGGAGCCAACGGUGAGAUACCACUCUCAGGAGGCUAGAAUUCUAACUUAAUUAAGGACAGUUUCAGGUGGGUAGUUUGACUGGGGCGGUCGCCUCCAAAAAGGUAACGGAGGCGUACAAAGGUUCCCUCAGACUGGUUGGAAAUCAGUCGAAGAGUGCAAAGGCAUAAGGGAGCUUGACUGCGAGAAGUACAGUUCGAGCAGGGUGGAAACACGGUCUUAGUGAUCCGACGGUGCUGUGUGGAAGGGCCGUCGCUCAACGGAUAAAAGUUACUCUAGGAUAACAGGCUGAUCUCCCCCAAGAGUUCACAUCGACGGGGAGGUUUGGCACCUCGAUGUCGGCUCAUCGCAACCUGGGGCGGAAGUACGUCCCAAGGGUUGGGCUGUUCGCCCAUUAAAGCGGUACGUGAGCUGGGUUCAGAACGUCGUGAGACAGUUCGGUCCAUAUCCGAUGUAGGCGUGAGAAUAUUGAGAGGAGCCUUCCUUAGUACGAGAGGACCGGGAAGGACGCACCGCUGGUGUACCUGUUAUGAUGCCAAUUGUAAACGCAGGGUAGCCAAGUGCGGAGAGGAUAACCGCUGAAAGCAUCUAAGUGGGAAGCCCACCUCAAGAUGAGUAUUCUGGUGUAAGGUCACGGGAAGACGACCCGUAAAUAGGCACGAGGUGGAAGUGCAGAGAUGUAUGAAGCCGAAGUGUACUAAUAGACCGUCGGC